UUUCCGUAGGUGAACCUGCGGAAGGAUCAUUAAUGAGUUGUCAUGGGGUUCGAUGCUGGCAGCCAAUUUUUGGAUGCAUGUGCUUGCCCUAACAAUCAUCUUCCAAACACCUGUGCACAUUUUUGAGGGAGUCUUGAGUUGGUUGCCGCUCUUGGGUGAUUUUCUCACAUUCCCUUAAAUCAUUAUACGCUAUUAACAAUGUUGAACGUGCUCUGUGCCGCAAGGCUAUUAAUAUAAUACAACUUUUAACAACGGAUCUCUUGGCUCUCGCAUCGAUGAAGACGCGC
rnacentral:misc_RNA from 1 species